AGACAGAGGGUGCAAACGUUGCUCGGAAUUACUGGGCGUAAAGCGCAUGUAGGCUGAUUUGUAAGUCAGGUGUGAAAGCCCUGGGCUCAACCCAGGAAUUGCAUUUGAAACUGCAUGUCUUGAGUGGUGGAGAGGGAAGCGGAAUUCCUGGUGUAGAGGUGAAAUUCGUAGAUAUCAGGAGGAACACCGGUGGCGAAGGCGGCUUCCUGGACACCUACUGACGCUGAGAUGCGAAAGCGUGGGGAGCAAACAGGAUUAGAAACCCCGGUAGUCC
rnacentral:rRNA from 1 species